rnacentral:rRNA from 1 species
GGUUAAGCGACUAAGCGUACACGGUGGAUGCCCUGGCAGUCAGAGGCGAUGAAGGACGUGCUAAUCUGCGAAAAGCGCCGGCGAGGUGAUAUGAACCCUUGACCCGGCGAUGUCCGAAUGGGGAAACCCAGUGCAAUCCGUUGCACUAUCGUUAACUGAAUACAUAGGUUAACGAGGCGAACCGGGGGAACUGAAACAUCUAAGUACCCCGAGGAAAAGAAAUCAACCGAGAUUCCCCCAGUAGCGGCGAGCGAACGGGGAGCAGCCCGGAGUCUGAAUCAGCUUGUGUGUUAGUGGAACGGUCUGGAAAGUCCGACGGUACAGGGUGAUAGUCCCGUACACGAAAAUGCACAUGCUGUGAACUCGAAGAGUAGGGCGGGACACGUGGUAUCCUGUCUGAAUAUGGGGGGACCAUCCUCCAAGGCUAAAUACUCCUGACUGACCGAUAGUGAACCAGUACCGUGAGGGAAAGGCGAAAAGAACCCCGGCGAGGGGAGUGAAAAAGAACCUGAAACCGUGUACGUACAAGCAGUGGGAGCCUCUUUAUGGGGUGACUGCGUACCUUUUGUAUAAUGGGUCAGCGACUUAUAUUCUGUAGCAAGGUUAACCGUAUAGGGGAGCCGAAGGGAAACCGAGUCUUAACUGGGCGUUAAGUUGCAGGGUAUAGACCCGAAACCCGGUGAUCUAGCCAUGGGCAGGUUGAAGGUUGGGUAACACUAACUGGAGGACCGAACCGACUAAUGUUGAAAAAUUAGCGGAUGACCUGUGGCUGGGGGUGAAAGGCCAAUCAAACCGGGAGAUAGCUGGUUCUCCCCGAAAGCUAUUUAGGUAGCGCCUCGUGAACUCAUCUUCGGGGGUAGAGCACUGUUUCGGCUAGGGGGCCAUCCCGGCUUACCAACCCGAUGCAAACUACGAAUACCGAAGAAUGUUAUCACGGGAGACACACGGCGGGUGCUAACGUCCGUCGUGAAGAGGGAAACAACCCAGACCGCCAGCUAAGGUCCCAAAGUCAUGGUUAAGUGGGAAACGAUGUGGGAAGGCACAGACAGCCAGGAUGUUGGCUUAGAAGCAGCCAUCAUUUAAAGAAAGCGUAAUAGCUCACUGGUCGAGUCGGCCUGCGCGGAAGAUGUAACGGGGCUAAACCAUGCACCGAAGCUGCGGCAGCGACACUAUGUGUUGUUGGGUAGGGGAGCGUUCUGUAAGCCGUUGAAGGUGUGCUGUGAGGCAUGCUGGAGGUAUCAGAAGUGCGAAUGCUGACAUAAGUAACGAUAAAGCGGGUGAAAAGCCCGCUCGCCGGAAGACCAAGGGUUCCUGUCCAACGUUAAUCGGGGCAGGGUGAGUCGACCCCUAAGGCGAGGCCGAAAGGCGUAGUCGAUGGGAAACAGGUUAAUAUUCCUGUACUUGGUGUUACUGCGAAGGGGGGACGGAGAAGGCUAUGUCAGCCGGGCGACGGUUGUCCCGGUUUAAGCAUGUAGGCGGAGGUUCCAGGUAAAUCCGGUACCUUAUUAACGCUGAGGUGUGAUGACGAGGCACUACGGUGCUGAAGUGAUAAAUGCCCUGCUUCCAGGAAAAGCCUCUAAGCAUCAGGUAACACGAAAUCGUACCCCAAACCGACACAGGUGGUCAGGUAGAGAAUACCAAGGCGCUUGAGAGAACUCGGGUGAAGGAACUAGGCAAAAUGGUGCCGUAACUUCGGGAGAAGGCACGCUGAUGUGUAGGUGAAGCCCCUGCGGGCGGAGCUGAAAUCAGUCGAAGAUACCAGCUGGCUGCAACUGUUUAUUAAAAACACAGCACUGUGCAAACACGAAAGUGGACGUAUACGGUGUGACGCCUGCCCGGUGCCGGAAGGUUAAUUGAUGGGGUUAGCGGCAACGCGAAGCUCUUGAUCGAAGCCCCGGUAAACGGCGGCCGUAACUAUAACGGUCCUAAGGUAGCGAAAUUCCUUGUCGGGUAAGUUCCGACCUGCACGAAUGGCGUAAUGAUGGCCAGGCUGUCUCCACCCGAGACUCAGUGAAAUUGAACUCGCUGUGAAGAUGCAGUGUACCCGCGGCAAGACGGAAAGACCCCGUGAACCUUUACUAUAGCUUGACACUGAACACUGGUCCUUGAUGUGUAGGAUAGGUGGGAGGCUUUGAAGCGUGGACGCCAGUCUGCGUGGAGCCAACCUUGAAAUACCACCCUUUAAUGGCUGGUGUUCUAACGUGGACCCGUAAUCCGGGUUGCGGACAGUGUCUGGUGGGUAGUUUGACUGGGGCGGUCUCCUCCCAAAGAGUAACGGAGGAGCACGAAGGUUGGCUAAUCCUGGUCGGACAUCAGGAGGUUAGUGCAAUGGCAUAAGCCAGCUUGACUGCGAGCGUGACGGCGCGAGCAGGUGCGAAAGCAGGUCAUAGUGAUCCGGUGGUUCUGAAUGGAAGGGCCAUCGCUCAACGGAUAAAAGGUACUCCGGGGAUAACAGGCUGAUACCGCCCAAGAGUUCAUAUCGACGGCGGUGUUUGGCACCUCGAUGUCGGCUCAUCACAUCCUGGGGCUGAAGUAGGUCCCAAGGGUAUGGCUGUUCGCCAUUUAAAGUGGUACGCGAGCUGGGUUUAGAACGUCGUGAGACAGUUCGGUCCCUAUCUGCCGUGGGCGCUGGAGAAUUGAGGGGGGCUGCUCCUAGUACGAGAGGACCGGAGUGGACGCAUCACUGGUGUUCGGGUUGUCAUGCCAAUGGCACUGCCCGGUAGCUAAAUGCGGAAGAGAUAAGUGCUGAAAGCAUCUAAGCACGAAACUUGCCCCGAGAUGAGUUCUCCCUGAGACCUUGAGUCUCCUGAAGGAACGUUGAAGACGACGACGUUGAUAGGUCGGGUGUGUAAGCGCAGCGAUGCGUUGAGCUAACCGAUACUAAUGAACCGUGAGGCUUAACCUU